CCUGGUUGAUCCUGCCAGUAGUCAUAUGCUUGUCUCAAAAAUUAAGCCAUGCAUGUGUAAGUAUGAACUACUUUAGAUUAUGAAACUGCGAAUGGCUCAUUAAAUUAGUUAUAGUUUGUUUGAUGGUACGUGCUACUCGGAUAACCGUAGUAAUUCUAGAGCUAAUACUGCACCAAACCCCGACUUCCAGAAGGGAUGCAUUUAUUAGAUAAAAGGCCGAUGCGAGCAUUUGCUCGGCGUCCUGUUGACUCAUGAUAACUCGUCGGAUCGCACGGCCCUAGUGCCGGCGACGCAUCAUUCGAAUUUCUGCCCUAUCAACUUUCGAUGGUAGGAUAGGGGCCUACCAUGGUGGUGACGGGUGACGGAGAAUUAGGGUUUGAUUCCGGAGAGGGAGCCUGAGAGACAGCUACCACAUCCAAGGAAGGCAGUAGGCGCGCAAAUUACCCAAUCCUGCACAGGGAGGUAGUGACAAUAAAUAACAAUACUGGGCUCUUCGAGUUUGGUAAUUGAAAUGAGUACAAUCUAAAUCCCUUAACGCGGAUCCAUUGGAGGGCAAGUCUGGGGCCAGCAGCCGCGGUAAUUCCAGCUCCAAUAGCGUAUAUUUAAGUUGUUGCAGUUAAAAAGCUCGUAGUUGGACCUUGGGUUGGGUCGGUCGGUCCGCUUCACGGUGUGCACCGGCCGGCUCGUCCCUUUUGUCGGUGACACGCUCCUGGCCUUAAUUGACCGGGCCGUGCCUCCACCACUGUUACUUUGAAGAAAUUAGAGUGCUCAAAGCAAGCCCAAGCUCUGGAUACAUUAGCAUGGGAUAACGUCACAGGAUUUCGGUCCUAUUGCGUUGGCCUUCGGGAUCAGAGUAAUGAUUAAGAGGGACAGUCGGGGGCAUUCGUAUUUCAUAGUCAGAGGUGAAAUUCUUGGAUUUAUGAAAGACGAACCACUGUGAAAGCAUUUGCCAAAGGUGUUUUCAUUAAUCUAGAAUGAAAGUUGGGGGCUCGAAGACGCUCAGAUACCAUCCUAGUCUCAACCAUAAACGAUGCCGACCAGAGAUCGACGGAUGUUGCUCUUAGGACUCCGCCGGCACCUUUUGAGAAAUCAAACUUUUUGGGUUCAUUGAAAGUCGGCCGUAGCCUAUGCAUUAAGAAAGCAAAUAUCAAGUACAAGAUAAGCAAUCCUUAAGAAGGAUUGCACAAAAAUCUGUUGGGAGGGACAUAUCCCAACCCCAACUAACAUCUGAGGAAAGCGCAAAAGAAGCAAUGUAGUCGGCAGCCAAGUUGGCUUGCCUAUAUACAAAUGCUGUUAAAGCUGCCGAAUUCAAAAAAAUGCGGACCAAUCUUGCCCAAAUUUGAGCAGAGCUAAGUUUAUUAUUACACCAAGUAUAACAAGGUCCAUCAUCCCAACUAUCAUGCAAAUCAUUUGAAGUAAUCCAAGCAGCAAAUUCAUUAACAGCAGGAGUAUUCGGAAAGGGCUUCCCACCUUUCUUAUUCUCUUGUAACAGAAUGCAAUUAAAAUCACCAGCUGUAAUUACAGGAGUUGUAUCAGUUAAGUAGGUAGAAAUACCUUCUCAAAUAUGAAGG
rnacentral:rRNA from 1 species